rnacentral:rRNA from 1 species
UUUGAUGGCGACCGGCGCACGGGUGAGUAACACGUAUCCAACCUGCCGAUGACUCGGGGAUAGCCUUUCGAAAGAAAGAUUAAUACCCGAUGGCAUAGUUCUUCCGCAUGGUGGAACUAUUAAAGAAUUUCGGUCAUCGAUGGGGAUGCGUUCCAUUAGGUUGUUGGCGGGGUAACGGCCCGCCAAGCCUUCGAUGGAUAGGGGUUCUGAGAGGAAGGUCCCCCACAUUGGAACUGAGACACGGUCCAAACUCCUACGGGAGGCAGCAUG